CUUGUAUUCCCUCCGUUCGAAAUUAUUUGUCGCAAAAAUAAAUGUAUCUAAAUGUAUUUUAGAUACAUUCGUUUCUGCGACAAGUAAUUCCGAGCAGAGGGGGUAUAAA
rnacentral:pre_miRNA from 1 species